rnacentral:rRNA from 1 species
GACGAACGCUGGCGGCGUGCCUAAUACAUGCAAGUCGAACGAACUCUGGUAUUGAUUGGUGCUUGCAUCAUGAUUUACAUUUGAGUGAGUGGCGAACUGGUGAGUAACACGUGGGAAACCUGCCCAGAAGCGGGGGAUAACACCUGGAAACAGAUGCUAAUACCGCAUAACAACUUGGACCGCAUGGUCCGAGCUUGAAAGAUGGCUUCNGCUAUCACUUUUGGAUGGUCCCGCGGCGUAUUAGCUAGAUGGUGGGGUAACGGCUCACCAUGGCAAUGAUACGUAGCCGACCUGAGAGGGUAAUCGGCCACAUUGGGACUGAGACACGGCCCAAACUCCUACGGGAGGCAGCAGUAGGGAAUCUUCCACAAUGGACGAAAGUCUGAUGGAGCAACGCCGCGUGAGUGAAGAAGGGUUUCGGCUCGUAAAACUCUGUUGUUAAAGAAGAACAUAUCUGAGAGUAACUGUUCAGGUAUUGACGGUAUUUAACCAGAAAGCCACGGCUAACUACGUGCCAGCAGCCGCGGUAAUACGUAGGUGGCAAGCGUUGUCCGGAUUUAUUGGGCGUAAAGCGAGCGCAGGCGGUUUUUUAAGUCUGAUGUGAAAGCCUUCGGCUCAACCGAAGAAGUGCAUCGGAAACUGGGAAACUUGAGUGCAGAAGAGGACAGUGGAACUCCAUGUGUAGCGGUGAAAUGCGUAGAUAUAUGGAAGAACACCAGUGGCGAAGGCGGCUGUCUGGUCUGUAACUGACGCUGAGGCUCGAAAGUAUGGGUAGCAAACAGGAUUAGAUACCCUGGUAGUCCAUACCGUAAACGAUGAAUGCUAAGUGUUGGAGGGUUUCCGCCCUUCAGUGCUGCAGCUAACGCAUUAAGCAUUCCGCCUGGGGAGUACGGCCGCAAGGCUGAAACUCAAAGGAAUUGACGGGGGCCCGCACAAGCGGUGGAGCAUGUGGUUUAAUUCGAAGCUACGCGAAGAACCUUACCAGGUCUUGACAUACUAUGCAAAUCUAAGAGAUUAGACGUUCCCUUCGGGGACAUGGAUACAGGUGGUGCAUGGUUGUCGUCAGCUCGUGUCGUGAGAUGUUGGGUUAAGUCCCGCAACGAGCGCAACCCUUAUUAUCAGUUGCCAGCAUUAAGUUGGGCACUCUGGUGAGACUGCCGGUGACAAACCGGAGGAAGGUGGGGAUGACGUCAAAUCAUCAUGCCCCUUAUGACCUGGGCUACACACGUGCUACAAUGGAUGGUACAACGAGUUGCGAACUCGCGAGAGUAAGCUAAUCUCUUAAAGCCAUUCUCAGUUCGGAUUGUAGGCUGCAACUCGCCUACAUGAAGUCGGAAUCGCUAGUAAUCGCGGAUCAGCAUGCCGCGGUGAAUACGUUCCCGGGCCUUGUACACACCGCCCGUCACACCAUGAGAGUUUGUAACACCCAAAGUCGGUGGGGUAACCUUUUAGGAACCAGCCGCCUAAGGUGGGACAGAUGAUUAGGGUGAAG